GUGGGGAAUAUUGGACAAUGGGGGGAACCCUGAUCCAGCCAUGCCGCGUGUGUGAAGAAGGCCUUUUGGUUGUAAAGCACUUUAAGCGAGGAGGAGGCUACCGAGAUUAAUACUCUUGGAUAGUGGACGUUACUCGCAGAAUAAGCACCGGCUAACUCUGUGCCAGCAGCCGCGGUAAUACAGAGGGUGCAAGCGUUAAUCGGAUUUACUGGGCGUAAAGCGCGCGUAGGUGGCCAAUUAAGUCAAAUGUGAAAUCCCCGAGCUUAACUUAGGAAUUGCAUUCGAUACUGGUUGGCUAGAGUAUGGGAGAGGAUGGUAGAAUUCCAGGUGUAGCGGUGAAAUGCGUAGAGAUCUGGAGGAAUACCGAUGGCGAAGGCAGCCAUCUGGCCUAAUACUGACACUGAGGUGCGAAAGCAUGGGGAGCAAACAGGAUUAGAUACCCCAGUAGUCC
rnacentral:rRNA from 1 species